UCCACGUAGCAUCAGACUCUCUCGCGACAUCCGCCGAACGCAAUUAGCGGAAAGCGGCGCAAGUAACGAAGCCAAGCGAAGCGGCAUCGCUCAAACCCCCGCGAGAACGUUAACGCGGUUCUCCAUUCCGCGGCCGCCACCUCCCUGCCCAUGACCUCGCCGCUCCUCCGCCACCACCACCGCCGCCGCCUCCUUUCCACCUGUACGCGAGCCCUUAAAUGCGUCUCCCGUUCCAUCUCCUGGAAUCCGACGGGACGGCCGCAGCAAACCCUAGCCUCGUCUGUGUCCAGAUCGGGGACGGCGCUGCACUCGGGCGACUUCACCACUGCUCGCCUCCUGCCGGCCGCCGCGGGGGAGGGGAGGUUCUUCGUCGCGGGGCACUCCCGGCCGCGCACGAGGAUCCCCGCCGCGAUCGGCCAUGUCGUCGACUCCGCCCUCUGCACCACCCUCUCCCGCGACGGUACCAGGGUACGGACCGUUGAGCACCUCCUGUCCGCUCUGGAGGCAUGCGGGGUGGAUAAUUGCCGCAUCGAGAUCGAUGGUGGGGAUGAGGUUCCUUUGUUAGAUGGAUCAGCGAAGGAAUGGGUGGAGGCUAUAAAACAAGUUGGGUUAUGUGUUGCAGAGGAUCAACAUGGCUAUACUUUAGAUAAACUAGUACCAGAACUCCAUGAACCACUGUAUUUAUGGCAUGGUAGUUCUUUCUUGAUUGCCUUCCCUUCUCAGAAAAUUUGCAUCACUUAUGGAAUAGACUUUCCCAAGGUACCAUCCAUUGGCUGUCAGUGGUUUUCUUCUUUCAUGGAUGAAUCUACAUACACAAAAGAAAUAGCUUCCUCAAGAACAUUUUGUGUUUAUGAAGAGGUCGAGGGAAUGUGCCGAGCUGGGCUCUGUAAAGGUGGAUCAGCUGAUAAUGCUAUUGUUUGCAGCAUCACUGGUGGCUGGCUAAAUCCACCAUUACGUUUCUUUGAUGAACCUUGUCGCCAUAAGGUUCUAGAUCUUGUGGGCGACUUUUCUCUUUUUGCUCAAAAUGGAAAUCAAGGACUUCCCAUCGCACACAUAAUUGCUUACAAGGAGGCAGCUUUGAGAUGGUAGCUGCGUAAGGGACCUGGAAAAAUGAUGGGCUGCACUAGCAAGGGCCCGUGGUCAGACUGCUCUACUGUGGCCAAUCGCCCACACAAGGCAAAAGCUGUCUUUGUGAGACUUCCUGGCUGGCCAUGCACUACACACCGACUUCGUUCGUCUGCUGUCACGAUCAUCAACGGAACUAAGAGAAAGGCUACUAAGAUGAAGGAUACAACAUCCUUCUGAGCAGUCGCCAUUUGGGAACUUCGGAUAGUAGCAAGGAUGCCAUCUGAUCACUUGCAGCCAGUCAAUAUUUAUACUUGACAAUGACUUUUAGAUGAAAACAGGCUCAUGAAGUCGGCUGAAGUGGCUUGGAGGUGCAACUUUUCUUAUCGGAACUUUAGAGAGCUUGAGGGGUUGUUUCAAGACAACAAUCCUCAAAGAAACUAUGAUUUGAAACAAUCCUCAAAGAAGUGUCUAAGGAGAAACAACUAAAAGUCGACUAAAUUUGAAUUGUUGUAAUUUACUGUAUGUUUAAUUAAUUUCAAAUCUGAUAUCAAGUGCUUCAAUGUAA